rnacentral:rRNA from 1 species
UACGAAGGGGGCUAGCGUUGCUCGGAAUGACUGGGCGUAAAGGGCGCGUAGGUGGCGGCCCAAGUCCAUGGUGAAAGCUCGAUGCUCAACAUCGAGUCGGCCACGGAUACUGGGUUGCUCGAGCACUGUAGGGGCAGAUGGAAUUCCGGGUGUAGCGGUGGAAUGCGUAGAGAUCCGGAAGAACACCGGUGGCGAAGGCGGUCUGCUGGGCAGUUGCUGACACUGAGGCGCGACAGCGUGGGGAGCAAACAGG